rnacentral:snRNA from 1 species
GGGUGUGAGGGUCAUCUGGCUAUGACGUCUGUCCUUUCAUUGAUCACCAGGGCUGGUUGGCUGAUCUGGUAGACAAGGUGGGUGACCUCCUUCCUCCCUCACUGCUUAAACGUGCAGACUCAGUUGACUAAGAGUCGCUACACUCUUCCGCAAUAACCUCCAAACUCUCAAGAUUAGUAGGAAGCAAAGUUACUGGGAAGCCAGACAAGUAAAUAUGUUUCAGAAGAGGACAGACAACCUUU